UACGGGGGAGCAAGCGUUGUUCGGAUUUACUGGGCGUAAAGGGCGCGUAGGCGGCCACCGCAAGUCGACUGUGAAAUCUCCGGCUUAACCCGGAAGGUCAGCCGAUACUGCGGGCUAGAGUGCAGAAGGGCAACUGGAAUUCUCGGUGUAGCGGUGAAAUGCGUAGAUAUCGAGAGGAACACCUGCGGCGAAGGCGGGUGCUGGGCUGACACUGACGCUGAGGAGCGAAAGCGUGGGGAGCGAACAGG
rnacentral:rRNA from 1 species